rnacentral:rRNA from 1 species
CCCUACGGGGUGCAGCAGGCGAGAAAACUUUGCAAUGUGCGAAAGCACGACAAGGUUAAUCCGAGUGGUUUGUGCUAAACGAACCUUUUGACAGUCCUAGAAACACUGUUGAAUAAGGGGUGGGCAAGUUCUGGUGUCAGCCGCCGCGGUAAAACCAGCACCUCAAGUGGUCAGGAUGAUUAUUGGGCCUAAAGCAUCCGUAGCCGGCUCUAUAAGUUUUCGGUUAAAUCUGUACGCUCAACGUACAGGCUGCCGGGAAUACUGCAGAGCUAGGGAGUGGGAGAGGUAGACGGUACUCGGUAGGAAGGGGUAAAAUCCUUUGAUCUAUUGAUGACCACCUGUGGCGAAGGCGGUCUACCAGAACACGUCCGACGGUGAGGGAUGAAAGCUGGGGGAGCAAACCGGAUUAGAUACCCGGGUAGUCCCAGCUGUAAACUAUGCAAACUCAGUGAUGCAUUGGCUUGUGGCCAAUGCAGUGCUGCAGGGAAGCCGUUAAGUUUGCCGCCUGGGAAGUACGUACGCAAGUAUGAAACUUAAAGGAAUUGGCGGGGGAGCACCACAAGGGGUGAAGCCUGCGGUUCAAUUGGAGUCAACGCCAGAAAUCUUACCCGGAGAGACAGCAGAAUGAAGGUCAAGCUGAAGACUUUACCAGACAAGCUGAGAGGAAGUGCAUGGCC